UGUUGGGUCAACACAAAGGAUCUUUAACUUAGUGGAUCAUUCAGGCCGAGUCCAAGCGUUAUUCAGACUCAACCUGAAAUGUUUAGGUCCAGGUCAAGAUUGGAUUAGUUCGGAUUUGUAGUCUAAGUAUGUAGCUAUUCUUUUAUAGAUAAAAUACAAUAGUUGAUUAAAUAAAAAAUACUUAAAUAUUUGAAUAUUAAGAAAGAGUUAAACAACUUAAACUUGAAUUUUCAUAUAAAAAACUUCUAAUUUCAUCCAAAUAAUUGAUCAUUCAUGUUUAUAGACCAUGAUUUUCAAAAUACAACAUAUAUGUAUAUAUGUGUGUGUAUGCAUGCACACAUGUGUGUACGUGUGUAAUUGAGGAGCAAGAUUUUAUAAAUAAGAAUCUACAAAAAAUAAAUAAUGAAAGUCUGAAUGUCUAAAUAUAAUUAAAUGAAAAUAGAUGGAAAAAUAUAUAUUUUUUGAGAUUGAAAAAAAGAAAUUAGUUUAAAUGAGAGUCUUUUCAAUGAAUUGGCAAAGAUAUUCAAAGUAAAGGAGAAGGUGGUUUACAUAAUUUUGAGUUUUGGAAUGGGUUCAACCUGAACAAUAUAUGGCUGAGGCACGUUGGGUUCGAGAUCCAAACUUAAUGUAGAAUUUUGAUCCAAUUUGGUCCAUAUCUUCAUCGGUCAGGUUUGGUCUAAUUGAAUCAAGAUUGUGUUGGGUCACCAGUUGACCCAUAACCAUUUCCAGGCCCAGCAACAAAUAGAGGCGAACAUUUGAUGAGAUAUGGCCACAUGGUAGAAAAUCCCAAGUAUUAGCAUCCAAAGUGAACUCCAUGGCAAAUCAGUGAGAUUUUGUAGCAGAGGUUUUGCAAGAAGUUCCUUCUCUUUUUCUUCUUCCAACAGAUGCUUGUUUCACAUGCAAAGAAGCAUAUGAAAAAUUCAUUGAACCCACAAUUAUUAAUUUUUCAACUCCAUAAUCAAGAAAUGAAAAGUUCUCUUGCCACAUGACUCUUUUGCUUAGGUGGUUAAUAAUUAAGGAAGGGGCUGGCAGUUGAUAAAUGGAUGCAUUCCCUCUAUCAAAUCCUAGUUUUGUAAUAUUUAAAAGGUUUACAUAUAAAUUUGAUGCAUGAGGAUAGUAUUUCCUGAAUUAUUGAUUUUUCCUUUAUUAAAAUUAUGCCCAAGU
rnacentral:lncRNA from 1 species